UACGUAGGGUGCGAGCGUUGUCCGGAAUUAUUGGGCGUAAAGAGCUUGUAGGUGGUUUGUCGCGUCUGCCGUGAAAGUCCGGGGCUCAACUCCGGAUCUGCGGUGGGUACGGGCAGACUAGAGUGAUGUAGGGGAGACUGGAAUUCCUGGUGUAGCGGUGAAAUGCGCAGAUAUCAGGAGGAACACCGAUGGCGAAGGCAGGUCUCUGGGCAUUAACUGACGCUGAGGAGCGAAAGCAUGGGGAGCGAACAGG
rnacentral:rRNA from 1 species